rnacentral:rRNA from 1 species
AUUGAACGCUGGCGGCAUGCUUUACACAUGCAAGUCGAACGGUAACAGGCCUUCGGGCGCUGACGAGUGGCGAACGGGUGAGUAAUGCAUCGGAACGUGCCCAGUCGUGGGGGAUAACGCAGCGAAAGCUGUGCUAAAUACCGCAUACGAUCUGCGGAUGAAAGCGGGGGCCUUCGGCCUCGCGCGAUUUGGAGCGGCCGAUGUCAGAUUAGGUAGUUGGUGGGGUAAAGGCCCACCAAGCCGACGAUCUGUAGCUGGUCUGAGAGGACGACCAGCCACACUGGGACUGAGACACGGCCCAGA